CACGGAGCGGCUUGCACACAUGCAGCUCUUAGGCCCGGGCCGCACGUCUCAGAAGCCCCGUGUGCGACUUUGACCGCCGCACGAUCCUCUGCCGGGGGAGGUGGGCCCGCUGCGCUUUGGGAGCACCCGCGCCCGACACUGAGGUCUCGGUGCUGUGUUCGGCCUCUUCGUCCCUGCGGGUCCCCUCUGGGAGCAGAGGCGGUCGGAAAACCCUGGGGCUGAAGUGCAGGCUUCGGGAGGACGCGACCUGCCAAGAUCAGCUCCCGGCACGUGAUGGGAGCCUGGCUCACCUUCCCCCAGCGCACGAUGGGCCGCAGCCUCCCCGGUCGGCCUGGCCUGCUGGAAAGGAGCAGCUCUGUUUCCAGAGGCUUCUGGCGAAGCCCACGGCCUCCCAUUGUUGGCUGAUUUAUAAGGAAAGAGGGGAAAGGCCAAGUGUGGAUGCCAUUAGCAUAACCUAAUCCAGACCCCAUGACAAGUCCAGGAUCCUGCAGGGAGAGGGCAUCCUUGAACGUGAAGGACUGGCUUUGGAAACUUGGCCUCCCGGAAGAAAGGUCUCCGGGCCCACCCACACCCACCUUGUGGACGCCCCCGCAGUCGAAUACACUCCACAGGAAGACGGACCACAAACAGCAGCAGCCUCCGGUGUCGGCCCAGUGAUCCGGGAGCUCAGAGUUGGCUCUGCAGAAACCCAUGAAAGAGGAUCCUGAAAGAGCAAGGGCGGCCUCCAGGUGAAGGUGGUGGGCGGCCUCCAGGUGAAGGCGGCCUCCAGGUGAAGGUGGUCAGCACCCUCCCUUUGGCCAAGAGGAGACUGCAGUUUCAACUCAAAGAUUAUUCCUGAAUGAUGCAGCAAGCUUAAACUUCCUUAAAAACAAACCUCUGGGAAGAGGAAAACGAGGCAAGAUGCUGAGAAAAAGUCAUCUCCCACUCUGCCCUUCUCUGGCAAAUCGAAGUGUCCUCUUGUGGGAGGCGGUGGGCAGCGACACUCCUGUUGGACGUCAGUGCUCUCGGGAUGGGCCCGGCCACCCCGGAGCAGAACUCACUUAGGGCCUGGUGCCCCUGUGCCCAGUUCUCAGAACGUCGGAGUGCUCAGUUCUCAGAACGCCGGAGUGCCCCAUUCAUAACCUGCAGCCCCGUUCAUAGCCUGCAGCUCCCCUCCUUCCUCUCCUCCCGGUCGUCAGGGAGCACCCCCAGCUCCCCUCCCCACUCUCAAACCCUCCUCCUCCCUCCCCUCUCUCAUUUCCCUGUUUGCAGGAUCUCCUCCUGCCCACUCUCCAGCCCAGGUCCUCCCCUCUCAUCUCCAAUUCUGCUUCAUGGGCCAUGACAGCAGGCAGGCCAUGGCCUGCUCUCAGCAGUUUGAUCGAUGGACUAAGGAGAUCACUCCUAUGAGAGUGAAAAAGUCAAAUGUGCCUGAGAUUCGGAUGGGGAGCUCUCAAAGCUACGGAUUGCAAGAGUCAACACCGCCUCAAAAGUACAAGGCCGGCCGGGUGCAGUGGCUCACACCUGUAAUCCCAGCACUUUGGGAGACUGAGGCGGGUGGAUCACCUGAGGUCAGGAGCUCAAGACCAGCCUGACCAACAUGGUGAAAUCCCGUCUCUAUUAAAAAUACAAAAAAGAUUAGCCGGGUGUGGUGGUGCAUGCUUGUAGUCCCAGCUACUCGGGAGGCUGAGGCAGGGGGAGCACUUGAACCCGGGAGGUGGAGGUUGCAGUGAGCCGAGAUUGCACCAUUGCACUCCAGCCUGGGCAACAGAGUGAGACCCUGCCUCAAAAAAAUAAAAAAAUAAAAGUACGAGGCCCGGUUUAAAUGCAGGAGGAAUCUGGUGAGCGAGUUUCACUCUGAUGCAACAGAAAAGCCAAGCCAAGCCUUGGCUGUGCCUGGUCUUGGCCGGGGAGCCACAGGCAGGGUCUGCUGGUUUCGGUGUCAGGGGCACAUCCCCAGGACCACGUCUGAGAUGGGAAGUGCCUUGAUGGAAAACUGAUACCUUUUUCUUUCCGAGUAACUUUAGAACAUGUCGCUUCAAAUAUAACUAAUAUCCUGAUUUCAGUGGACUUGCAUGGAAGGAAACGCAAGUUCAUUUGCCAGUGGGGGGUGAGGACUGGGAGAGUGGGGAGCAG
rnacentral:lncRNA from 10 species